CAGUCAUUUUUGGCAGCUCAUAUACUAAAAUUGAAAUGAUGCAGAGAAAUUUAGUAUGGUCCCUGAGCAAGGA
rnacentral:snRNA from 1 species